rnacentral:rRNA from 1 species
ACAGCAGUAGCCACGGUAAUACAGAGGAUGCAAGCGUUAUCCGGAAUGAUUGGGCAUAAAGUGUCUGUAGGUGGCUUUUCAAGUCCGCCGUCAAAUCCCAGGGCUCAACCUUGGACAGGCGGUGGAAACUACCAAGCUGGAGGACGGUAGGGGCAGAGGGAAUUUCCGGUGGAGCGAUGAAAUGCGUUGAGAUCGGAAAGAACACCAACAGCGAAAGCACUCUGUUGGGCCGACACUGACACUGAGAGACGAAAGUUAGGGGAGCAAAUGGGAUUAGAUACCCCCGUAGUCCCUGUCUCUUAUAC